AUGGAGCUCAAGAAGAGCUCGGUUUUGAAUUUCCCGCCGUCGAAAGAUUCAACCGCUUUCACCACCAAUGCUACGUCGUGCCACUACGUGUUCCUCGUCGAGGACGAGUGGUUCACCUACACCGACCGUGUCUUCCUCAACCGCACCAACGACUUCGCCGUGGCCCUCGUACUGGACUGGGCCCUCCGCAACGUCGGCAACUGCAGCGCUGCCGGGCAAAACGAGGCCGACUUCGCCUGCCGGAGCGUGGGCAGCCAGUGCGUUGACGCAACCAAUGGCCCCGGGUACCGGUGCAGCUGCCCCAAGGGCUACAACAGCAACCCUUACCUCCAUGGUGGAUGCGCGUACAUCGACGAGUGCCAUCUGAAAGACGAAUACCGGUGCUAUGGCGUGUGCACAAACACGCCGGGGAGCCACACUUGCCAAUGCCCACCGGGUACAAGUGGAGGUGCCACCGCCAAGAACGGCUGCCGGACAAAGGACAAUUUCACCUUAGCUCUGAAAGCCGUUAUAGGAGUCAGUGUUGGGGUGUUCUUGUCGGUGUUCAUGUGCUCCUGGCUCUACCUGGGGCUCCAGAAGAGGAAACUGAUCAAAUCAAAGCGGAACUUCUUCGAGCACAAUGGAGGCGUCAUCUUGCAGCAGCAGAUGCGUUCCAAUAGAGGUACCUCUGUAGGAGGCAGCGGCGGGUUCAAGAUAUUCUCGGAAGAAGAGCUUGAGAAGGCCACCAACAACUUCGCCACAGACCAGGUCCUCGGACGCGGCGGCCAUGGCAUAGUCUACAUGGGCGUUUUGGAGGACGAGACUAUGGUGGCGAUCAAGAAGUCUAAGAUGAUGGAGGAGUCCGAUAUCAAGGAGUUCACGAUGGAGAUGCUCAUUCUCUCCCAGAUCAACCACCGUAAUGUCGUGAAGCUGCUCGGUUGCUGCCUUGACGUGGAGGUGCCGAUGCUGGUCUAUGAGUACGUCUCAAACGGAACCCUCUACCACUUCCUCCAUGGAAAGGACCUUAACACCGACACGACCUCGGACACCCGUCUCCGGAUAGCGGCGGAGUCGGCGGAGGCGUUGGCAUACAUGCACUCAUCGGCCUCGCCGCCGAUCCUCCAUGGAGAUGUCAAGACCGCCAACAUCCUCCUCGACAACAAUCUAACCGCCAAAGUCUCGGACUUUGGGGCAUCAAUGUUGGCACCAAGCGACGAGGUUCAAAUCGCAACAUUGGUGCAGGGCACUUGCGGGUACCUGGACCCGGAGUACCUCAUGACGUGA
rnacentral:rRNA from 1 species